AUGCCAGAUGAACUUACCUGCAGUGAGAACCGCAGACGAGAGUGCUCGGAGGGUGCAGCAAUGCAGAAACAGGCUCCCAAUGUGGUGUUCCCAGGCUUCUUCUACCACUCCGACGUGAUGAACAGAGCUUGUUCCGCAUUGAAAGCCCACAUUCGUGAAAAGUUUUUGCUAAAACAACGAGCACCAAAUACUAAUCGUCUCAGUUGGUGCUCCCACGUGCCGGGUGAAUUCAUGGCCCAGCUUCGCUUCCUGGCCGUGCAGGCCCAGUUUGCUGCAUGUCGGGCCCACAGUUCUCCAAAUAAAUCAUGCACGGCUAAACUGCAGCUUGACAAGGAACAGCACUGCCGGAAGCUUCACAUUAUGAUGAUGCUUGCCAUGAGGCAGGGUGAUUCAUCAAUGUCUGUGCCAUCCAUCGAAUGGAUUCAACUGGGCAUCCAAUCUGAUGGCAUUAGUUGUUGGACGUUGAAGACAUCACAUUGUCCUUUGCGAAGAGUCGAAUGUGUAUCUUGUUCUGCUUCUGCGGAUCAUAAAAGACCAGCCCGGAUAUCAAGAUGGCAUUGCAACAUCAGCUGCACUCUUCCACAAUGCAAGGGUAGUUUGCUAUUCAUGACAUACACAAGGAACUUUGGCAUCGGAAGAAGUCAUUCGGCUAAUCAUGCCUGUGCUGCACCAACCCCAGAAGCCAUCACCCAUCCACACUGCAAGCUACUCACAAGUCCUGCCAAUAUCCCUGUACCCUUCUAUCCGCAAUGCAUUGAGGGCCAACAUACUUUGUGAGGCAACGCUCUGCCUGUGAAAGCACCAAUUCGACAGUUUAUAGUCGGCUCAGGAUUCAAACCCAACUGGACAGUUUAAAGGCAAGUACACUACCUCUGCACCGUCCUGUCACCGAUAUUGAUAAUACCCCUCGUGGUACAUUUUCUUGUACUGUGCAUGCUGAUUGGAUGAGGUACAUAAUGGCAAUUGUGAUGAGAUUUUUGUUUCUGGUUUUGAGAUUUAGGAGGAAGGGAUAAUGGGGCAAGGGGAAAGAAGAAGGCGGAGGGGUGACUGUGGAUACUAUCUGAAAGUGAAUCGAGUGCUGCGUGUGCGUGGGUAGAGAUUCCAAGCAAAAUGCUGCAUGGUAAAUUACCUUUUGCUGCAAUUGCUUCCUGGUAUUUACUUGCAAUGUCGCGUGAAAUUAUCGCACAAAAUAAACAACAUCACCGUUAAUACCCUUUAUUGUACACUUUUGUCCCAGAGCUGAAUUAUCUUUGUUAAAUAUUAAAGAUGAUUGGCCAAUUUGUUAGAAGGAAAACAUUGGUAGGUUCGUAAAUAAUUUCCAGUAGAACUUAAGCAGUUGGCUAUGCCUGGGGAAAGUGUAGGAAAAGUAUCACGUGCGAAAGUAUGUUUUCAUCUUAUAGACUUAUCACAUUGUUUUUGUGAUUUGUGAGCCUGAUUUUGUCUUAACGGUUGAAGUGGCUGGCUUCAGAAAUGAGGAUCUUGAGUUCAAGUCCCUGUUUUGUUCAUUGAAUUAACACCAGUUGGGUUGACUCAGCCUGUCAUCCUUCUGAGGUUGGCAAAAUGAGUUCCAGCUUACUGGUAACAGGGGGCAUUUCGUCGGUGGCAUCGCCGUGCCCCCAUGAAGUUGAUGCAUCCAAACAGCCACUGGCUACAUACGAAUAAAUAUAAAUAAAGUGCAUUGUGUGGGGGUAACGGUGUAAGAGUUGUCACGUGAUCGAGCUUUUCCAGGAUCUCCAUAAUCACUGUGCUUCUGAUGGUUCAUAAAAUGUUCCAAUAAGUUGUGAUAAAGUUAUAAACUCUAUUGCUUUACACCUUUACAGGAAAUUACAUGAAUUAAUAACCAGCCAUUGGAAGGAUGCAUCUCCAGGUAUGUUGUAAUGGUGGAGAAGGCAGGUGAGGUGUUGCUGUGAGUUUCCUCCAGAAAUAGAACGCUUCACCACACAUGUGUUGAUAC
ensembl:lincRNA